UGAUCGUUGUGCUGAAAAUUUAUAUAAGCUUUGUUAUGCUUUUAAUCUUACAACACAAAUCUGGCUUUUACUGGAAAUUGAACUCGAUCUACUUUAAAGCAAAUGCGUUAGAUUUAGAUCCAAACAUUAGAUGCACCAGGUAAAUGAGUUAAGAUUAUGCUUUAAAUGAUUUUUGAGUAUUGAUCACCACUUUUCUGGGUCCUC
rnacentral:lncRNA from 1 species